GAUGAACGCUAGCUACAGGCUUAACACAUGCAAGUCGAGGGACCGGCGCAAGGGUAAGUAACACGUAUCCAACCUACCCUUUACUCGGGGAUAGCCUUUCGAAAGCAAGAUUAAUACCCUAUAUAAAGGAUGGGGAUGCGUUCCAUUAUGUUGUUGGUGAGGUAACGGCUCACCAAGCCUUCGAUGGAUAGGGGUUAUGAGAGGAAGGUCCACCACAUUGGAACUGCGGCACGGUCCAAAAUGCUACGGGAGGGAGCAGUGAGGAAUAUUGGUCAAUGGGCGCUAGUCUGAACCAGCCAAGUAGCGUGAAGGAUGAAGGCUUAUGGGUCGUAAACUUCUUUUAUAUAAGAAGAGGUAUUAUAUGAAUAAGCAUCGGCUAACUCCGUGCCAGCAGCCGCGGUAAUUC
rnacentral:rRNA from 1 species